UACGUAGGUCCCGAGCGUUGUCCGGAUUUAUUGGGCGUAAAGCGAGCGCAGGUGGUUUAUUAAGUCUGGUGUAAAAGGCAGUGGCUCAACCAUUGUAUGCAUUGGAAACUGGUAGACUUGAGUGCAGGAGAGGAGAGUGGAAUCCCAUGUGUAGCGGUGAAAUGCGUAGAUAUAUGGAGGAACACCGGUGGCGAAAGCGGCUCUCUGGUCUGUAACUGACGCUGAGGCUCGAAAGCGUGGGUAGCAAACAGG
rnacentral:rRNA from 1 species